rnacentral:rRNA from 1 species
AGAGUUUGAUCAUGGCUCAGAAUCAACGCUGGCGGCGCGCCUAACACAUGCAAGUCGAACGAGAACGGCUUCAGCAAUGGGGCCUAGUACAGUGGCGAACGGGUGAGUAACACGUGGGUAAUCUACCUUCAAGUGGGGGAUAACCCGGGGAAACCUGGGCUAAUACCGCAUAAUAUCCGCAAGGAUCAAAGGAGCAAUUCGCUCGAAGAUGAGCCCGCGGCCGAUUAGCUAGUUGGCGGGGUAACGGCCCACCAAGGCUCUGAUCGGUAGCCGGUCUGAGAGGACGCACGGCCACACUGGAACUGAAACACGGUCCAGACUCCUACGGGAGGCAGCAGUGGGGAAUCUUGCACAAUGGGGGAAACCCUGAUGCAGCGACGCCGCGUGGGUGAUGAAGCUCUUCGGAGUGUAAAGCCCUUUCGGCAGGGAAGAGAUAAGACGGUACCUGCAAAAGAAGCCCCGGCUAACUACGUGCCAGCAGCCGCGGUAAUACGUAGGGGGCCAGCGUUGUUCGGAAUUACUGGGCGUAAAGAGUGCGUAGGCGGUGCGAUGUGUUCGGUGUGAAAUCUCCCGGCUCAACCGGGAGGGGCCAUCGAAAACUGUCGCGCUUCGGGUACGGGAGAGGGGAGUGGAAUUCCCGGUGUAGCGGUGAAAUGCGUAGAGAUCGGGAGGAACACCAGCGACGAAGGUGGCUCCCUGGACCGUUACCGACGCUGAGGCACGAAAGCUAGGGGAGCAAACAGGAUUAGAUACCCUAGUAGUCC